AAUUUAGAGGCUACCAUUCAACAGAUACUUGACAUGGGCGGAGGCAGUUGGGAUCGCAAAACUGUUGUACAUGCUCUACGUGCUGCAUAUAACAACCCUGAAAGGGCUGUUGAAUAUCUUUAUUCUGGAAUUCCUGAGCAAGCUGAAGUUCAACCAGUUGCCCGAGUUCCUGCUAGUGGGCAGGCUGCAAAUCCACCAGCCCAUACUGAACAACCUGCAGCACCUACCAGUGGUGGGCCAAAUGCAAAUCCUCUAGAUCUAUUUCCACAGGGCCUUCCUAGUAUGGGUUCCAAUGCCAGUGCAGGCACCUUGGAUUUUUUGCGCAACAGUCA
rnacentral:misc_RNA from 1 species